GAGUCCGAGCGCGUUGUUUGGUGACGUCCUGAGUCCCUCUGAGCCUCGGAUAACCUUGACAUGGUAGAGGUCGGCGGUUCGAAUCCGCCUGGUCCUACCA
rnacentral:tRNA from 1 species